CGUCUAUAUACGUAUAGCAUAUCAAUAAGCGGAGGAAAAGAAACUAACUAGGAUUCCCUUAGUAACGGCGAGUGAAGCGGGAAGAGCUCAAAUUUGAAAUCUUCAAGGUUUACCUUGACGAAUUGUAGUUUAAAGAAGUGUUUUCUGUUGAGUUUCGGUAAAAGUUCUUUGGAAUAGGACAUCAUAGAGGGUGAGAAUCCCGUAUUUGACCAUUAUUUCAGCUUUGUGAUACACUUUCAAAGAGUCGGAUUGUUUGGGAAUGCAGUCCAAAAUGGGUGGUAAAUUUCAUCUAAAGCUAAAUAUUGGCGAGAGACCGAUAGCGAACAAGUACCGUGAGGGAAAGAUGAAAAGAACUUUGAAAAGAGAGUUAAACAGUACGUGAAAUUGUCAAAAGGGGAAGCGUUUGACACCAGUGUUGUUUUCUCGAAAAUCAAUUAAAAAAGGCCUGGAUUUUGUGUUGUAUUGACUUUAUCAGCUUUCUGCACUCUUUUCUUGUCUUUUUUAAUGCACUUUUCGUUUAACAAGUCAACAUCAAUUUCUUUUGUUGUAAAAGGGUCAUUGGAAGGUGGCUUUCUUUUCGGAGAAAGUGUUUAUAGCCUUUGGCCUCUGCAAUCGGAGAGAUUGAGGUCUGCAGCGUAGAUCCUUCGGGGUUAGAUACAUUUGUGCUAAGUUAUAGCCUUUCAUAGACAACUUGUUGACUAUGAUCAGUCAUGUAGCUUACUCGCUUAUGCUAUUUUACCUACGCUUAGGAUGUUGAAGUCAUCGUAUCGCGC
rnacentral:rRNA from 1 species